rnacentral:misc_RNA from 1 species
AGUUCCUGUACACGCCGGAAGGACAGACCAUUCUGGCCAGGCAGUACAACCGCGUGAACGACAAGGCCGUCGCCGAGAAGUUCAAGGACAAAUUCCCGGCGGUGAAGCUCGUCACCAUCGAGAAAGAGUUCGGCGGGUGGGACAAGGUCAACGCGGAGCACCUCAAUCCCGGCGCGAAGCUCGAUCAGUUGUUUGGCGGCGCCAACAGGUAAGACGCAAGUUUUGAAUAAAUAGAAAAUGUCAUGCGCGGGCUUGACCCGCGCAUCCAUCCAGAAAAGCCUGCCAGAAAGAUGGAUUGCCGGGUCAUAGGCGAGCGGAAGCGACGCCGUUCUUCGGACGGC